UACGUAGGGUGCAAGCGUUGUCCGGAAUUAUUGGGCGUAAAGAGCUCGUAGGCGGCUUGUCGCGUCGUCCGUGAAAACCUGCGGCUCAACUGCAGGCUGGCGGUCGAUACGGGCAGGCUGGAGUUCGGUAGGGGAGACUGGAAUUCCUGGUGUAGCAGUGAAAUGCGCAGAUAUCAGGAGGAACACCGGUGGCGAAGGCGGGUCUCUGGGCCGAUACUGACGCUGAGGAGCGAAAGCGUGGGGAGCGAACAGG
rnacentral:rRNA from 1 species